AUCCUUCCGAUCAAUGAGGUGUAACAACCUCAUUGACUGGAAGGAAUCCCUUCAGGUCAAUGAGGCAUAAUAACUCCAUCAACCGAAAGGAAUCCCUUCCGGUCAAUGGAGUUGUUGUUUCUUAUUGACCAGAAGGAU
rnacentral:miRNA from 1 species